CGAUUGUGGAAUGCUCUGCCGGAUGC
rnacentral:sRNA from 1 species